rnacentral:snRNA from 1 species
AUCACUCCUCAGCCAUUUGGCUAAGAUCAAGUGUAUAUCUGUUCUUAUCAGUUUAGUAUCUGCUGUGUCCUCGACAUGAGGAUGAUAUAGUAAAUGGAUUUUUGAAGCAGGGAGUUGGGAAUAGGAGCUUGCUCCAUCCACUCCACACAUCAACUGGUAUUGCAGUACCUCCAGAAAUAAUGCACUUCCU